rnacentral:rRNA from 1 species
GGAGUUUGGGCCGUGUCUCAGUCCCAAUGUGGCCGUCCGCCCUCUCAGGCCGGCUACUGAUCGCCGCUUUGGUAGGCCGUUACCCUGCCAACUGGCUAAUCAGACGCGGGCCCAUCCCGUACCACCGGAGUUUUUCACACUGUACCAUGCGAUACCGUGCGCUUAUGCGGUAUUAUCAGUCGUUUCCAACUGCUAUCCCCCGGUACGGGGCAGGUUGCCCACGCGUUACUCACCCGUCCGCCACUAAGUUAUCUCAUGUCUCUGCCGAAGCUUCAACGGCGAGAUAACCCCGUUCGACUUGCAUGUGUUAGGCACGCCGCCAGCGUUCAUC